CCUACGGGUGGCUGCAGUGGGGAAUAUUCCGCAAUGGGCGAAAGCCUGGCGGAGCAACGCCGCGUGAGGGAAGAAGGCCUUCGGGUUGUAAGCCUCUGUUGUAUGGGAAGAAGGAUUGACGGUACCAUACGAGGAAGCCCCGGCUAACUACGUGCCAGCAGCCGCGGUAAUACGUAGGGGGCGAGCGUUGUCCGGAAUUACUGGGCGUAAAGGGCGUGUAGGCGGCAAACUAAGUUAGAGGUGAAAGAUUGGGGCUUAACCCCAAGAGUGCCUCUAAAACUGGUUAGCUUGAGUGCGGGAGAGGAAAGCGGAAUUCCUGGUGUAGCGGUGAAAUGCGUAGAUAUCAGGAGGAACACUCGUGGCGAAGGCGGCUUUCUGGCCUGCAACUGACGCUGAGGCGCGAAAGCGUGGGGAGCAAACAGGAUUAGAUACCCCUGUAGUC
rnacentral:rRNA from 1 species